CUACGGGGGGCUGCAGUGGGGAAUAUUGCACAAUGGGCGAAAGCCUGAUGCAGCAACGCCGCGUGAACGAUGAAGGCCUUCGGGUCGUAAAGUUCUGUUCUAAGGGAAGAAUAAAUGACGGUACCUUAGAAGAAAGCCCCGGCUAACUACGUGCCAGCAGCCGCGGUAAUACGUAGGGGGCAAGCGUUAUCCGGAAUCAUUGGGCGUAAAGGGUGCGUAGGCGGUUAUGUAAGUUAGAGGUGAAAGGCUAUGGCUCAACCAUAGUAAGCCUUUAAAACUGCAUAACUUGAGUGCAGGAGAGGAGAGUGGAAUUCCUAGUGUAGCGGUGAAAUGCGUAGAUAUUAGGAGGAACACCAGUGGCGAAGGCGACUCUCUGGACUGUAACUGACGCUGAGGCACGAAAGCGUGGGGAGCGAACAGGAUUAGAUACCCGUGUAGUC
rnacentral:rRNA from 1 species